UGGGGAAUAUUGCACAAUGGGCGCAAGCCUGAUGCAGCCAUGCCGCGUGUAUGAAGAAGGCCUUCGGGUUGUAAAGUACUUUCAGCGGGGAGGAAGGGAGUAAAGUUAAUACUUUUCCCCAUUGCCGUUACCCGCAGAAGAAGCACCGGUUAACCCCGUGCCAGCAGCCGCGGUAAUACGGAGGGUGCAAGCGUUAAUCGGAAUUACUGGGCGUAAAGCGCACGCAGGCGGUUUGUUAAGUCAGAUGUGAAAUACCCGGGCUCAACCUGGGAACUGCAUCUGAUACUGGCAAGCUUGAGUAUCGUAGAGGGGGGUAGAAUUCCAGGUGUAGCGGUGAAAUGCGUAGAGAUCUGGAGGAAUACCGGUGGCGAAGGCGGCCCCCUGGACGAAGACUGACGCUCAGGUGCGAAAGCGUGGGGAGCAAACAGG
rnacentral:rRNA from 1 species